GGGACGAUAGCUCAACGGUAGAGCAGGAGCCUUUUAAGCUCUAGGUUCAGGGUUCGAAUCCCUGUCGUCCCA
rnacentral:tRNA from 1 species